rnacentral:lncRNA from 1 species
GAUUUGAAAAUGGGAUAACUUCUUCUUGCCAACUCCUAUGAGAUUUAUUCAACUUCCUGGUGAUUAUCCACCACUUAAGUAUCCAAAUCAAGCUUCUCACAAAGUGAUUCAUCCUGGUUUGAUUGGAACGACGAAGAAGCUGUGCUAUUCCUAAACUGGGAAACUGGAAUCACCUUAUUUGAAAGUGGGAUAACUUAUUCUUGCCAACUCCUAUGAGAUUUAUUCAACUUCCUGGUGAUUCUCCACCACUAU